UUUGUAAUCCUUUUGAGAUGCUCGGUGAGAGAGUUUCGGUGUGAGUUUGGAGUGUGUUUGCCUGAGAGGCUUUUGUAUUAGGAUUAGUUUGGAGUGUGUUUAUCCGAGAGAUUUUAAGUUUGUGUUAAUGUUCCUCUGAAGGUGUAUGUUGCUCCUAGUUGAGCGGUUAUUUUGCAUCACCUAUGAAUGAAAUGAUUUGAAUGAUUUCGUUUUUGCCUUGUUCAUUUAAAUUCCGCAAUUUAAAUUCUGCUUGUAAUUUGAACUUUGCGAUGAUGAGUUUUGUUAUCUCCUCCUCACCUCUCUUCUAGUUUGGGAAAUUCCUUUUCUCUUUCUCUUCUAGUUUUGGGAAUUUCUUUCUCCUUUUCUAGAUCCGGCUUCUCUAAUAGCCGCGGUUCUAGUAAGGAUUUUAAGAAAUCCGGCUUGAUGAGUAUUUUCGGGGGCAAGAUUUGAAUUGCUAUAUUCACCCCCUCUCUAUAGCUGUUCUUGGUCUUUCAAAAUCAUCCCCACUACCUGGAAUUUUAUCAUCCCCACUACCUGGAAUUUUCUGCUUCUAGUGCUUCCACGUCAUCAGUUUUUCCAUAACCGUUCAAUCGACACCGCAUCCUGCAUCCGCACCGUCCCGCAUCUCGCUCCGCCGGGCCCAUUGCAUCGCUCCCCACCACAUCGCGCAUCUCGCUCCGCCGGCUCCACACCCCACCGGAUUGCUCCCCACCGCAUCGCUCCUCUCUUGCACGAGCGCCCGCAUCGGCUUCCUCUCCCGCAUCUCGCUCCGCCUCCCCCACCGCAUCCCUCUCACUGCGCGCCGUGGGGACAGGCGCUGCGGCGCCGCGCUGCAUCGCGCUCGCCUGCCUCCCUACAUCGCACUCGCUCCCCACCGCACCAUCCGCCUCCCGUGCAGCAUUUCGCUGGACGCCGUGGGGACAAGCGCUGCGGCGUCGUGCCGCAUUGCGCUCGCCUGCCCCCCUGCGACCCACUCUGCCCCUAGCGAUGGCUGACUCUCCUUCUCCUGCGCCGUUCCGAAUCCACAUCCGAGAGAAGCGAAACGACCACCGCCCACUAACACCUAUGUCGUUUCCGCUCCCUGCUUCCUCUCAGUCUCUUCAUGGCUCCACACUCCGCCGGGACUGGGAAAGCCGAAAAAUUAAAGCGGCUUCCCAGGUUCUUGACUGUUGACAUGCUCGGUGUUUGCAUGCUACAAAAACAAGCCGAAGCAAGCACAGGAACUGAAAAGCUAGGUCACCUUAAUAGCAGCAAUCAAGCCCAUCAUCAUGCUUUUUUUUUUUGGAGAAAGAUUAUCAUGCUUUUUAAUCAACACCACAACUGUUUAGAGCUUCCUCAAUGGUAGCCUUGCAGUUGGGCUGUUUGCGAUCGACUUUUUUUUUUUUGGAUCUUUGGUUGAAAUUGACAGCUCCCCACCUCAACAACUGCUGAAUCUGUUGGAAAUUUCGGCAGCUUCAUCGUCAAAUCACGUCAAUAUGUGCUAGCCUUUCAACAGAAGUUCCUUUAUCGUCUCGAUCCAGAAACAGAUGACAAACAGUCUACGGAGGUUUAAUUUUUCGUCAAUGCUUGAAGCGACCUUCUACAUCCUUGGUGAAUCAAGAAAGAUCAGCCUCCCCUUUUUCUUUCAAUCAAUUCUCCAGCACAUCUUUUCCCUCAUGGCAAUGAAGAUUAUUAUACCUGGUUCUUAAUCUUCCUACUUCAUUUGUUUGUGACUAAUGAGAAUUAUGUUGUCCUUACUCUAUUUUUGCCCAUUUUUUAACCAUCAGUUCUUUUUAUUCUAAUGGCGCGAUGAUAUCAACUGAAUUGAUCGAGAACAAAGGAAGAGUGAACAGUGCAAUAGUGCACAGGCGAUUUGAUGACUCCCAUCGGCCGAUUCCAAGACUCUGAAGCCGAUACUGACUCUAGGCCGAUGAUGACUUCGGGCUUGCCAAAUUUUGUUGUUAACACCAUCACUUUGUGCAAGGAAUUAUGGAGUUAAUGGAGGGACUUGAAGAGAGGAUUGCAGUGGUUUAUAGUGCCCAAAUCGCAUCUCAUGACCAUAACUUUGUGCAAGGAAUUGUGGAGUUGGAGGGACUUGAAGAGAGGAUUGCAAUGUUUUAUAGUGCCCAAAUCGCCAUUUAAUCUAAUCGGAAGCUGGAUAUAAUGGCAGUUCAGUAAUCGGUAGGACUAUUUAGGAGGAGUUUCUGCAGAGUGCAGGAUGAAAUUAUGAGGGAACCAACAAUUUCUGGCAAAGUGGGAGGUAAUCAAACAAAUGAAUUUAGUGGGAGCCGGAGGAUUCACAUGCGUGCAACAUUGAAAGGGAUCAAUAAUAUGCAGCGUGAAUUGUUACAUAGUGUUGCAUGGGUCGCAUGCAUCGUCGGAUGGGAACAAAUCAGAUGGGUUGGGUUGGUUGAGUGUGAUAGGCUGGAUUCACCCGGCAAGGAUGAAUGACACAGAUUAGAAGCAAGGAGCCAAGAAAGACAGACAAAAUCAAGAAACACAAAACCAAAUGGUGGAUCACCUUGUGACUGAAAAAUAAGCAUUACUUGUAUAGUUGCAUAGGAUGCAUGGAACGCUAAGAGCUUAAUUGUUCUUAAUUGUUAAUCAGUUUCCUUUUAUGAUAGUGUAACAGUAACACAAGUUUAUUUUUUCUUGUCAGACUGGUGGUAUUUCUCAACGACAUUACUAGAAAUAUGCAUUCUAGCAAUGGCGCCAGAAAUGAUCCUAUUAUUUAUGGUUAUAGAAUUAAUCCGCAAGCGCACAUAUAUACCAUUGUAGCAUUUCACUUGGAAGUAUUCGAAUGUAUCGUAUUUUUAAUCCCAAGGGAAGAUAAUAAGAGUGAACUUUACUAA